ACUACUAGGCAUAUCAAGAUUUAAGAAAGCCAAAUAAAAGAUAAAGAAGAAGAGAUUUAGCCCUUUCCAUAGCCCAAAUCGGAGGCUCAUAUCCACCAGCCCACCUACUCUACUUCUUUUCCAUGUCAGCUCCACAUAAGCCCUAUGUCAGCGCCACAUAGGCGCCAACGGUCUAAAACACACGCCAAGCACACCCUUCACACUCUGACCACACAUUUUCUAGAGAAUUCUAUAUAUUUUUCUUUAUUUUUAUCUUGUUUUAUCCUAAGCCUAAUCUGAGUCAUCCGUUAUUUUAAUCCAAUGGUCAAUAUUUAUCCCUUCAGUUAAAUCCAAUUUGCUAACCCUGAUCUCUCUCCUAACCCAACAGACGCUUCUUCUCCUCCCUUUCCUCUUCUUCACAAAAUUUCACCUUGCUCAGCCAUGGCAGAACUUGCUAUUACCAUUUUUAACCAGAAGCUCUGCACCUUAAUUAAUUUUCUGCAACAUCAACGUUCAAUAACUUUCACUCAAUUUCGAAAUCCCGCCCAAACCAAGAACCCUAGAAAUCAGCCUAUAAAUACUGACCUUUGAAGAGAUUUUCGGACAAGCUCUGGGCCGCACCUUUACCCCACAAAAAUGGUUGGAGCCGCCUACUUUCACCUCAAAUUAGAGGGCUUCAGUCGCGCCUUUUACCCCCAAAAAACUAAGGCUGGAGCCCCCUCCUUUUACCUUUGUUUAGCCGCUAUCUCUACCUCUCAAAAAGGUUUCUUCUUUUUAAUCUCUCAGUUCUGUUGUUUUGUAACCAAAACAGAAGCUUUUUUUUUUUAUUUGUCCCGGUGAUUAAUCGUUAGUUCGGGUAGCAAGUUCAGAGGUCGGAGUUCGAUAGUGCACCUAAGAUCCCCGCCUCAGUUUGCUUCCCUGCAAAAAGUUCGUAUCUUUUUCUCUUUCGCAAUAUUUCGGUUCUGAUUAGAGCAUGUUCGAUACUUGAUGCAUCUUUGUUUCAAUACAUGUUAGUUUUUGUUAGGCUUCCACAUUUUAAUACUAUAAAGAUGGGUGUUUGCUUUUAUUUCUGUUUACCUUUAGUUUGGUGAAAGGAUUCUAUGACUAAAGUUAUUAGAAAUAAUUUUUUUAAGGAGGUUAUGCUCUGUAUAUGCAUUGAAACAUGUCUGCCUAUAUUUGAUAAAAUGCUCAUAUGAAAAUACCCAUUUUUCUUUUGCAUAGUUCUCUGUCAGAUUCCAUAAUUUUAAGAAAGAUUUUGUCAAGGACUAGGUGUGUUGCAAAAGAUUCAUUUGUCAUGUGAUUUAGGACUUUUUAUUAGGCACCAUGUCUAGGAUUCGAACAUUUUGUUUUAAGAACAGAUUUAGUUAAAAGUAAACUGUUUGGUUUACUUCAUGUCGUUCACACCCUAGAUUUGGUUUAUUUUAACUCAUGUCUUAAAAAAAUGAUCUCCUCUUCAUUAUUGAUUGUAAGGGCUCAUGAAUGACUAUAGAAGAUUGGUUUACUCAGUGUACUUUAAGAGGAUCACAUUUAGGCAAUAAAAUUAUUAAUUAUUCAUUUAAGCAUUAAAGAAAAGCAGUCUGUUGAAGUAUGAAGGUACAUACUCAUGGCUUUAGAUUAUCCUUCACCUGAGGUCUAGAUACUAUAACUAUUGGAUAUUAAGCUCACAAUUUAAAAAUGUUUGAUUCAAAACUUUCUUCAUGCAUAUCUAGAAACGUGGAUUUAAGAAACUAAAAGUAUUGAUGUAAGUUUGAUUGGUUCUUUCAUGGUUCUCCGGAAAAAAUCAUAUCUUUUUGAGGUAUUGUAAUUAGCCUUUAAAUCAAAAAUGGAAUUUUCGCAUUUGACAAAGAAUCUGUCUAAUUCCCUUAUAUUUUCUUGCUAUUAAAUGAGUUUGUCUUUCUCGUGAACUAGAAAUUAGUUUCUAGGAAUCUAUUUGAAUUUCAAAGACCAUAAGAGGGGAGAAUACAUACCGCUCUUGUUUUACUAGGUCUCGGCAUCAUUGUGAUCAGUAUUUUUUGGAAUAACUCGAUUACUUAGUUGAGAUUAUAAGUUAAAUAUGCACAUGUUGACUAGUGGAUCUCAUGCCUGUUGCUUUUCUUGCCUUAUGUCAAUUUUAGUUGCCAUGAAUUAGAAAGUUGUUUUACUCGGUUAAGAUCUCUAUCUAUGAAUAAUGUUCUGCUUUUGGACAAACGCCUUGAUUUUACUUGAGAUACUGCUAUCAGAAAGCAUAUCGUAGGAGAUUAUUUAAAAUGCACAUUGUUCAUAAUUCUCAGUAGCUUAAAUAGGCAGUACUAAUAUGAAGGGAGUAAUUAACCAAAUGCUACAUUGAUGACUAAUCCGUUCUUGUUCGGAAAUUAAGAAAUUGUGAAUCGAUGCGUUUCUUUAAUUUGGUGCAUUUUAAUUGUCCUUACAAUGUAUAGCAGUAUAAGGCUUCCUUACUAAUCUUUAUUUUUCCUUUUUUUUUUGCAUGAACACUUGGAGCGAUACGACUCUCCUCUACCCAAGCAUGGAGUCAUUAUAUUUCAUAUUCCUAUAGAUGCACCGGAUAGCAAGAAAACAAAUCCCAGUGCUGUAGACUUCGGACCGCAGUGAGAUUGUUAUUUUUGUUCAUCAAGCGACUCGAGGUUGUCCUGCAGGCGUCCGCAGGCCUUGGCGUCUCUUUCUAUCUGCUAUUCAUGUUUCUUUAAUGUAUUUCCAGAGACAGUGUUGUAUUUUUUUUUUAGACCUUUAUUUGUAGCACUUAUAGACAGUCUGUGAAGUUGUGACACCAGUCUUGGGUAGAUUUGUUAUGGAUUGGUAUUAGCAGUAUUAUUAAAACUUUACAAUGCAGCCUUCCGGUUAUUCAA